AAAGACGUUGACUGAGUGGGCGGCCUUGAGCGAACUAGAAAUAAACUCUUGCACUCCACAUAGGAAUGCCUGUCCAUGUGCGUAUUGGAGAAAAGGCGUCCGAACGUAGCCAUGUAUAGUUUAUGAGGAAAUCGUUAUGCACGGUGGCCUCAGGCAACUACAGGGCAUUCUGUUGAGUUCCUUCCUUCCUUCGCAAGAGGCCACUUGUCGUCCAGACUGUGGAAGUACGGCGCGCGCAGGAAGAGGAACGGCGGGAACAGCAACGAGAAUGUGCGCGGCUACGGCGUGUGGCGCAGAAUGCCCACGAAGCUUUCGCGGCAAACGCCAAGCGUAUGCCCAAGCGCUACAGAACCCAUGGCCAUCUACCGUAGUGUUCAUAAAGCCAUAAUUACUGCGGUCACGAGAUAGACGUACAUGCCAACAAACUUAACACUGUGCAUAUCUCUGUUAUAUGGUUUUGUUAUUUCAUUUUAUUUUCUUUAUAGCCAUAUACAGCUCCGCUGGUUAUCCGCCUUCACAGAGUGGAAUGGCUCUGAAUUUUUUGUGUUCAUUACAUAUGUAGUUGCCUUUUUUUUCAUUCUUACUUUGGAAUUGAAAAAAUCUGCGGUAUCUUGUAAAUAAAAUAAAAACAUUUAAAAAGGCAUUGAUGGCAGCGCACAUAUGGGCAAGGGGACUUGUCUUAUUCAGAACAACUUGUUCUAGGCUGUUGUUCUAACGAUGGUUGAAAGUUCCCUCGUCGAAGGGAUCGCUCCAGUCUGAGGUUAACCGUUUCUGUCCAUUAUUUGAAUUAUCCAUCAUCCCUUGAACAUUGCCGAGUUUUAUUCGUUAAGUGUCAGAAAUCCCAGCACCACUGGUUCUUGGAUAGUGCCAGGAAGUGCGUCUAAAUGGGCCGGUAAAACUAAUGUGACCAAGAAAUUGGUUGCAACAAAUGUGAGAGAUUGCCACUAAUUUUCUCGAAAAGUACGGCGAACUUUCUCUUCUUUUUCUUUCAUUUCGGCAGUAGCCUUCUGCGACGACGUGUAUGGCCCAUCUCCCCACGUUUGUCAACACGCCUUGGAUAUUCACUACUCAUUGCGCCAGGAGCACAUACACAUUCACAGACCUGGGCUCUCAGUUCCCGCCACGACACACAAGCCGCCUCGAGAGCGCGGCUGUCGGCACGCCUUUACUUGGCUGUUUUGCAAGACAGAGACCGCUGA